rnacentral:rRNA from 1 species
GACGAACGCUGGCGGCGUGCUUAACACAUGCAAGUCGAACGGAAAGGCCCUGCUUUCGGGGGAUGCGAGAGUGGAGAAGGGGAGUGAAACACGUGAGAUACGUGCCCUUGAUUUGGGGAAAACUUGAGGAAAGUGGGGAUAAUAGGAGAUGAGAGAUCCUGAUGCAUGGGGGGGGAAGGAAAGUUUGGGAGGUUGGGGAUGGACGCGCGGCUUGUCAGCUGGUGGGUUGGGUAGUGGCUUACCAAGGCUUGGACGGGUAGCCGGCCUGAGAGGGUGACCGGCCACAUUGGGACUGAGAUACGGCCCAGACUCCUACGGGAGGCAGCAGUGGGGAAUAUUGCACAAUGGGCGGAAGCCUGAUGCAGCAACGCCGCGUGCGGGAUGACGGCCUUCGGUUUGAAAACCGUUUCCGCCUGUAACGAACCUUGUGUGACGGUAAUUGGUAAAGAAGCACCGGCUAACUACGUG